AUGGAGAGGAAUCCUUGGCCAGUCUCAUUGCUGAUCCUGUGGCUUCAUCUUGGUGGAGGGAGCCUCCUCUUGAGCAUGAAACAGGGUCCUCCACGGGUGCACGUUCAGGAAGGAGAGAGCACCAAUGCCACCUGCAGUUUCCCUUCCAGCUCUUUUUAUGCUUUUCACUGGUACAGAUGGGAACCUGCAAAAAGUGCCCAGAACCUGUUUGUAAUGUCUUUAAAUGGGGAUGAAAAGGAGGAAGGACGAAUUAGAGUCACUCUGAAUACUAAGGACGGUCACAGCUACCUGUACAUCAAAGGACCCCAGCCCGAGGGCUCAGCCACAUGCCUCUGUGCCUCCACACAGUGCUCUGCAGUCACCUGCAGCCCCUGCCCAAACCGGUGCCUGGUGCUGCUCUGGUGCCACAGUUGA